UUUCAAAUAAGUCUAUGUUAUUGUUCCAUCCAACUCUUAUACAAUCGACAAACUCCUAACUUAAUUACUUAGUCAUUGAACGUUGGGCGGUAAAAUUAACAUCACGAGGACACAACUAAGAUAAUGGGCUUCAAAGUUUUCUAUCAAUUUUGAGUUUAAAUAUUGGAUCUAUAUAAAAAAACUCUUCUCCACACUAAUGCAAAAAAAAAAAAAACCAGGGACAAAUUUAUUACUCCCUCCAUCCACUAAUUCAAUACCUUCUUUCCUUUUUGG
rnacentral:lncRNA from 1 species